UACAGAGGUCUCAAGCGUUGUUCGGAAUCACUGGGCGUAAAGGGUGCGUAGGUGGCGUGGUAAGUCAGAUGUGAAAGCCCGGGGCUCAACCUCGGAUCGGCCGUGGCGACUCGUGGGCUGGAGCACUGUAGAGGCGGGUGGAAUUCCGGGUGUAGCGGUGGAAUGCGUAGAGAUCCGGAAGAACACCAGUGGCGAAGGCGGCCCGCUGGGCAGUGGCUGACGCUGAGGCGCGACAGCGUGGGAGCAACAGG
rnacentral:rRNA from 1 species